rnacentral:tRNA from 1 species
GCCUGGAUAGCUCAGAGGUUGAGCGUCUGCCUUUGGCUCAGGUCCUGAUCCUGGAAUCUGGGAUCGAGUCCCACAUCAGGCU